UCAAGCGACUAAGUGUAUGUGGUGGAUGCCUUGGCGAUCACAGGCGAUGAAGGACGUGACAGCCUGCGAAAAGCUGUGGGGAGCUGGCAAAUAAGCUUUGAUCCACAGAUGUCCGAAUGAGGGAACUCACCUGCUUUGCAGGUAUCCCAUCCUGAAUAUAUAGGGAUGGGAGGCGAACGAAGCGAACUGAAACAUCUAAGUAGCUUCAGGAAAAGAAAUCAACCGAGAUUCCGAAAGUAGCGGCGAGCGAAAUCGGAUCAGCCCAGCACUCGAUAGCAGCCAACUUACGGGAACGGUCUGGAAAGUCCGGCCAUAGAGGGUGAUAGCCCCUUACUGGAAAAGGCAGCUGUGGUACUAAGUGUGCGAUAAGUAGAGCGGGACACGUGACAUCCUGCUCGAAGAUGGGGGGACCAUCCUCCAAGGCUAAAUACUCGUGAUCGACCGAUAGCGUACCAGUACUGUGAAGGAAAGGUUAAAAGAACCCCGGGAGGGGAGUGAAAUAGAUCCUGAAACCGCAUACAUACAAACAGUAGGAGCCUCGUUAAGGGGUGACUGCGUACCUUUUGCAUAAUGGGUCAGCGACUUACGUUUAAUGGCGAGCUUAACCGUAUAGGGGAGGCGCAGCGAAAGCGAGUUCGAACAGAGCGUUCAGUCGUUAGGCGUAGACCCGAAACCAGAUGAUCUAUCCAUGGCCAGGUUGAAGGUGUGGUAACACACACUGGAGGACCGAACCGACUAGUGUUGCAAAAUUAGCGGAUGAGCUGUGGAUAGGGGUGAAAGGCUAAACAAAUCUGGAGAUAGCUGGUUCUCCCCGAAAACUAUUGAGGUAGUGCCUCGUGUAUGACUCCAGGGGGUAGAGCACUGUUAUGGCUAGGGGGACAUGGCGUCUUACCAAACCAUGGCAAACUCCGAAUACUUGGAAGUUUGAGCACGGGAGACAGAGCACCGGGUGCUAACGUCCGGACUCAAGAGGGAAACAACCCAGACCGCCGGCUAAGGUCCCUAAUAUUGACUAAGUGGAAAACGAAGUGGAAAGGCUAAGACAGUCAGGAAGUUGGCUUAGAAGCAGCCAUCCUUCAAAGAAAGCGUAAUAGCUCACUGAUCGAGUCUUUCUGCGCGGAAGAUGUAACGGGGCUAAGUCAAUAACCGAAGCCGCGGAUUCACACUUGUGUGUGAGUGGUAGGGGAGCGUUCUGUAAGCCUGCGAAGGUGACUCGUAAGGGUUGCUGGAGGUAUCAGAAGUGCGAAUGCUGACAUGAGUAACGUUAAAGCGGGUGAAAAGCCCGCUCGCCGUAAGCCCAAGGUUUCCUGCUCUACGUUCAUCGGAGCAGGGUGAGUCGGCCCCUAAGGUGAGGCUGAGAAGCGUAACUGAUGGGAACAAGGUUAAUAUUCCUUGACCACCGCUGAAUGCGAAGGGGGGACGGAGUAUUGAAGAUCAUCCGGGUGUUGGAUAUCCCGGUUUGCGAGCGUAGGAGGCUGACAGGCAAAUCCGUCAGCGAAUCUCCGAGGCAAAGCAUCGAGCUCUCUUUUGAGCGAAGUGAUUGGAUGUGCUUCCAGGAAAAGCCUCUAAGCUCCAGUUCAGCGGGACCGUACCGCAAACCGACACUGGUGGGCGAGCUGAAUAUGCUCAGGCGCUUGAGAGAACUCAGGAGAAGGAACUCGGCAAAUUGACACCGUAACUUCGGGAUAAGGUGUGCCUUUGUAGCGUGGAGGGAGAAACACCCCGAGCGCGAAGAGGUCUCAGAUAAUCGGUGGCUGCGACUGUUUAUUAAAAACACAGCACUCUGCAAAGACGAAAGUCGACGUAUAGGGUGUGAUGCCUGCCCGGUGCUGGAAGAUUAAUUGAUGGGGUGCAAGCUCCUGAUCGAAGUCCCAGUAAACGGCGGCCGUAACUAUAACGGUCCUAAGGUAGCGAAAUUCCUUGUCGGGU
rnacentral:rRNA from 2 species